GAGCGCAACCCUUGUCAUUAGUUGCUACAUUCAGUUGGGCACUCUAAUGAGACUGCCGGUGACAAGCCGGAGGAAGGUGGGGAUGACGUCAAGUCCUCAUGGCCCUUAUAGGUGGGGCUACACACGUCAUACAAUGGCUGGUACAAAGGGUUGCCAACCCGCAGGGGGAGCUAAUCCCAUAAAGCCAGUCGUAGUCCGGAUCGUAGUCUGCAACUCGACUACGUGAAGUCGGAAUCGCUAGUAAUCGUGGAUCAGAAUGUCACGGUGAAUACGUUCCCGGGUCUU
rnacentral:rRNA from 1 species